UUAUUUUCAUUCAUAAGUAAUAUUAAAAAGAAUAUGGAUUAUUAUUAUUGCCUUUUAUACAAAACCCUCUCUCCCGUCAAAUUUCUUCCCCAUCCUUCUUCCAACGGUAACUCUCUCUACUUCCUCUCCCCUCUCCCCUUCUCUUUCGCUCUCUGUGAGUAACCCAUCUUGCCGAUCCACACCAUCAUCUUCUCCUAGCCCUAACGGCGCCAGAAUCAAGAGCGGCAGACCCCUCGGAAACCCAAUUCGUCUUCCAAAGUCCUUUUGUUCCACCGUCACCGUCAGAUCCCGACUCCAUGGUUCUUGAUUCCAAACCCUCGCCGGCUAAGUUGAAGAGCCCGCUUCCACCUAGGUCUCCCUCUUCUAACCCACUUAAGCGGAAGGUAUGAAGACCGUUCCUGAGAAUUCCAUCUCUGGAUUGUCUGAUUCGGGUAUGAAGGUGGUAGUGCGCUUGCUGCCGCCAUCCAAGGACGGAGAUGAAGGGGAUAAUAUAAUACAAAAGGUUAUGUGUCGAUGAAGUUAGCGGACAGUGGGCAGAUGCAGAUGAAUUCUUUAAUGAGGAACAGGCUAUGUGAAAGAGACCAGGCUAUUCGCAAACUGGAAAGGGAAAUAGAAGAUAAAGAUAGGGAAUUGCAAUCAAUUAAAUUAGACAACGACGCAGCUUGGGCCAAGGAUGAUCUUCUGCGGGAACAAGAUAAGGAAAUAGCAACUUAAAGUGGAAGAGGCACUAUCAGCAUUGACAUGUACAUGUGAUUUUAAGCAAGAACCAGGAGAGUGAGAGUUUUAGUGUGCCGUAUUUAGAAUUUGCCGAUAUCUUUUUCCCGUUUCAGCAAGUAUUCCUGAUAGUGGGG